AUUUUUCUGGUAAGAGUUUGGCUGGUUCAAUUACAUCACAGACCCUCCACAAAUCAUCAUCUUUCUUCAUCUUCUGGAGCUUAUCCUUCAAUUUCAAUUUUCCCUUUAGUUUAUUCUCCUCUUCUUCACCCCAAACCAACCCUGAAACCUGCAAAAAUUCCUCUUCAAAUGAUAAGCCUUUCCACGCCUUCCAUAAAGAAGAUUGUGAAUGAUUGCCAACAUUUCAUCACCUGCUUGGAUAGUUUAUAUGCCACAUUUGGAAUGUUCUUAAGCUGUGUGCCUUUGCCCUGUUCAAUGAUGAAUUCUCUGGGGCUAUCCCUAAUGGUGGAAGGAUCAAAGGUUUUUACAGGAUUUUUUUCUCUACACAGGCCGAUCCAGCGGAGUAGUAGGCGUUGAAAGUAAAUCCUCGGUUUUCUCUUCUCUAAAUUCUUCAGCCAUAUCGAGAUUCGAACCUGUGACUUAAGGUUCAAACCCUGGAAUUCAAAAUUUGUAAGUUUUUCACAUUCUGGCUGGUAAAAGAUGAAGAGGCAAAACAGAGGAUCAGAAAAUAGCAAUCAAAUGAGAUCAAAUUCCCUCUUUCAGCCAUUCAUGGCACUGACAUUGGAUUCAUGGGUGGGCCCAUUUCUCAUGCUGGUAUUAGCACUUCUCACAGGCCAUUGACAACAGAGGAUUACUGAGUUGCAUCAUCAAAUUAGGUUUUUCCUUUUGCCCUUUUCUUUUUCCUUAUUUAAAAACUUAGGGUGUGGAAUUUUGUCUUUUGCAUGUAUUUUUGUAUUUAUUUUAUUUUAUUUUAAGUACUUUUUUUGUCAAAUUGUUAUGAUUGACAAUCAACUACUAGGAUUUUCCAUGGAUGGUAAUAAUUACAAGGAAGUUGCUAUCAUUGAAGUUGAUGUGUUU